rnacentral:rRNA from 1 species
GACGAACGCUGGCGGCGUGCUUAACACAUGCAAGUCGAGCGGUAAGGCCCUUUCGGGGGUACACGAGCGGCGAACGGGUGAGUAACACGUGGGUGACCUGCCCCCAGCUCUGGGAUAAGCCUGGGAAACCGGGUCUAAUACUGGAUAUGACUCCAUGACGCAUGUUGUGGGGUGGAAAGCCUUGUGCGGCUGAGGAUGGGCCCGCGGCCUAUCAGCUUGUUGGUGGGGUGAGGCCUACCAAGGCGACGACGGGUAGCCGGCCUGAGAGGCGACCGGCCACACUGGGACUGAGACACGGCCCAGACUCCUACGGGAGGCAGCAGUGGGGAAUCUUGCGCAAGUGGGCGAAAGCCUGACGCAGCGACGCCGCGUGAGGGAUGACGGCCU